CCCCACAAUGCAUGUCUCUCUACCAACCCCCAUUUUUGCUUUGUAAAACUUUUUUCCCCCCAACCAGCAUACCUGCUGUCUCUGGCUUGUUGCUGCUUCUUAUUUUCAUAAUCCUCACAGUCCAAAAGAGUGCUUUGCAUGACGAGAGAGAACGGGUUGAGUGGGAUAAAAGACAGAGACAUGUUUCCUCUCAUUCCCGCCUCUCACCAUCACACAUAUCUCACACACGAAGGCGUAGACCAGAUUCCCAGCACCCCAAUAUAUAUAGUUAUUCAUUAAAUAAAGCCCCUAUACAAACACUCCACCCCUAUACACACACACAUACACUAUACAUGGAUGAGCGGCUGUGACCAGGGAGUGUCACUGUGAAGAUUUUUAGCACAAGGAGCCAGGGCCGGACUGGCCCACCGGGAUACCGGGAAAUUUCCCAGUGGGCCGCGGCACCAGGGGCUGGGCUGACAGCCCUCAUCA